CAGACGCUAUCUGAGUUCGGCCCUAGUUGAAACGUGACUGAGUUGGUUUUAAAAGGUUUUAGACGUUUUACAGAACUUGACCUACUUGUUGGCCAAACCGGAUAAUGCUCUAAGGAAGUAAGGUGUCCUAAGUGUAAUAAACCUAAAACCUAGUCGAUAAAAAAAGCCACAGCGAGUUGUGCUUACUUAUGUACCGUUUAAAUCGAACUAUACGGUCUGUAAAUACGUUUUUCGUAUACAUAAUACCAUACAGUGUGAGUGUUUUUUUUCCAGGUAACAGCACAUAUGUGGCGUUAAAUUUGGUUUUCUAAAGGUGAUAAUAUAUUAAACGUAUUGUAAUUUAAAC